UACGUAGGGGGCAAGCGUUGUCCGGAAUCAUUGGGCGUAAAGAGCGUGUAGGCGGCCAGGUAGGUCUGCUGUGAAAACUCGAGGCUCAACCUCGAGACGUCGGCGGAAACCAUCUGGCUAGAGUCCGGAAGAGGAGAGUGGAAUUCCUGGUGUAGCGGUGAAAUGCGCAGAUAUCGGGAGGAACACCAAUGGCGAAGGCAGCUCGCUGGGACGGUACUGACGCUGAGACGCGAAAGCGUGGGGAGCAAACAGG
rnacentral:rRNA from 1 species